CAGUAUCCGCGGUAAUACGAAGGGGGCUAGCGUUGCUCGGAAUUACUGGGCGUAAAGGGAGCGUAGGCGGACAUUUAAGUCAGGGGUGAAAUCCCGGGGCUCAACCUCGGAAUUGCCUUUGAUACUGGGUGUCUUGAGUAUGAGAGAGGUAUGUGGAACUCCGAGUGUAGAGGUGAAAUUCGUAGAUAUUCGGAAGAACACCAGUGGCGAAGGCGACAUACUGGCUCAUUACUGACGCUGAGGCUCGAAAGCGUGGGGAGCAAACAGGAUUAGAGACCCGAGUAGUCCCUGUCUCUUAUAC
rnacentral:rRNA from 1 species